GGAAUAUUGGACAAUGGGCGCAAGCCUGAUCCAGCCAUGCCGCGUGUGUGAAGAAGGCCUUAGGGUUGUAAAGCACUUUCAGUGGGGAGAAAGGUUAUUCACCUAAUACGUGAGUACAUUGAUGUUACCCACAGAAGAAGCACCGGCUAACUCCGUGCCAGCAGCCGCGGUAAUACGGAGGGUGCAAGCGUUAAUCGGAAUUACGGGGCGUAAAGCGUACGUAGGUGGGUGGUUAAGCCAGCUGUGAAAUCCCCGGGCUCAACCUGGGCACUGCAGUUGGAACUGGCAAGCUAGAGUAGGGUAGAGGGGUGUGGAAUUCCAGGUGUAGCGGCGAAAUGCGUAGAUAUCUGGAGGAACAUCGGUGGCGAAGGCGGCAUCCUGGACCGGCAUUGACGCUGAGGCGCGAAAGCCAGGGGAGCAAAC
rnacentral:rRNA from 1 species